rnacentral:lncRNA from 1 species
CCUGACCAUUCAUCUUGGGAGCACUAUUUGAUAGCAUGGAGAAACUAUCCCCUUUCCUCCCUUCCCCACCAUUUCCCAGUACAUUUUGGAUUGAGUGCAUCCCAGAAGUGAAGCUCUUCUUUCUGUGUGAUGAUAAUGGGCAUGAUCAGAAUGUAUUUCCUUCUGACUGAAAGCCAGAAGAGUUUUGCUUCAGUGGAAUUCACUGUCUUUAGGAGAAAAGAUGUGAUCAGAAUAGGAAUGCUGAAUUCAGGAUACCUUUUCUGCUGGACCAGUGAUAAAAUUCCAAUGAUCAUUGGCAGAAGGCUCAGCACUUCUUGUGGCACACAUGGUGAGAUGGAUGGAUGCUGUUACUGGAAUGCAUCUUCAAAAUUUCUAAAGAUCUGUGAUUUCAACCAUUUGGUUGGAAAUAGACUCAUAGGGCCACAUUCUUCUGUGUUAACUCUUUUAUGGUUACUUUGGAUAAAGUGAUCUUGAAUGUAAUUCUCAGUUAUUUUAAAUUAUUAAUAGGAAAGGCCAAAAUAUUAAAUGUUUUAUUUGUUAAAAUGCAUUGCAGGCUUUUGUGGUGAAAUAUUAAAACUGACCUUCACAAAGGUUUUUUUUUUUUUACUCAAAUUACUUGGAAUAAAAAUCUGCCUUUUGCUUUUGUCA